UACUCCCUCCGUCCCGAAAUAACCAAACCUCGUACUAGGAUGUGACACGUCCUCCUAUGUACUAGGACGUGCCACAUCCUAGUACGAGGUUGGUUUAUUUUGGGAUGGAGGGAGUAU
rfam:Oryza meridionalis cultivar OR44 (W2112) chromosome 1, whole genome shotgun sequence.